rnacentral:rRNA from 1 species
UUCACGGAGAGUUUGAUCCUGGCUCAGGACGAACGCUGGCGGCGUGCCUAACACAUGCAAGUGGAGCGACGAACCAGGCUUCGGCCUGGGGCAGAGCCGCGAACGGGUGAGUAACACGUGGGUAACCUGCCCCGAUGAUUGGGACAACCCGAGGAAACUCGGGCUAAUACCGAAUGUGCCCUACAGCUUCAAGGCUGGUGGGGAAAGGAAGCUUCGGCCUCCGCAUCGGGAUGGGCCCGCGGCCCAUUAGCUUGUUGGUGAGGUAACGGCUCACCAAGGCAACGAUGGGUAGCUGGUCUGAGAGGACGAUCAGCCACACUGGGAC